UACGUAGGGUGCGAGCGUUGUCCGGAAUUAUUGGGCGUAAAGAGCUCGUAGGCGGUCUGUCGCGUCGAAUGUGAAAACCCGGGGCUCAACUCCGGGCUUGCAUUCGAUACGGGCAGGCUAGAGUUCGGUAGGGGAGACUGGAAUUCCUGGUGUAGCGGUGAAAUGCGCAGAUAUCAGGAGGAACACCGGUGGCGAAGGCGGGACUCUGGGCCGAUACUGACGCUGAGGAGCGAAAGCGUGGGGAGCGAACAGG
rnacentral:rRNA from 1 species